rnacentral:lncRNA from 1 species
GGAUUAACACUUUUUACCCACAGUUCUUUAGUGACAUAUAUAGGCCAUAACAAACAUGCAUAAAUACAUACAAGGUAUGCACAUAUUUAUAUGUAUAUAUUCAUUAGUCGUAUAGAAUGUUUAUUUAGAGAGACUUUUGAUGUUGGACAGUCUUAUCUAGAUGGUGUUGUCUUCCUGAGACUCGUCGAGAGGGAAACACGUCUCGUCACCGCCGGUGUUCCACAAGAAAUUAGCGUAAUUAGCGGCGUAGAAAGAGUUGGUCGGAUCGGCAUCGAUUGCUUCCAAGAAAGUCUCCUCAGC